CCAAUAGCGUAUAUUAAAGUUGUUGCGGUUAAAAAGCUCGUAGUUGAACUUCGGGGUUUACCCAUUGGUCAGGCUUAAUUGUCUGUACUGGUGAGAUAAAUCUCUACCUUCUGAGGAACUUUCAUGUCAUUAAUUUGGUGUGAUUGGAAAUCAGGACUGUUACUUUGAAAAAAUUAGAGUGUUUAAAGCAGGCUAACGUCUGAAUACAUUAGCAUGGAAUAAUGAAAUAGGACGGACUGAUUCUAUUUCGUUGGUUUCUAGGAUCACCGUAAUGAUUAAUAGGGAUAGUUGGGGGCAUUAGUAUUCAAUUGUCAGAGGUGAAAUUCUUGGAUUUAUUGAAGACUAACUACUGCGAAAGCAUUUGCCAAGGAUGUUUUCAUUAAUCAAGAACGAAAGUUAGGGGAUCGAAGACGAUCAGAUACCGUCGUAGUCUUAACCAUAAACUAUGCCGACUAGGGAUCGGACGAAGUUAAUUUUAUAAUGACGCGUUCGGCACCUUACG
rnacentral:rRNA from 1 species